UUCUAUGGACUGAUAACCUUCUAAAAAGCUAAUUCAUCUGAUCUUGGAAGCUAAGGAGGAUUGGACCAUAAAAGUACUUGGAUGGAAGACCACCCAGGAAGACCAGGUGCUGUAGGCA
rnacentral:rRNA from 1 species